CCUCCAUGUAGGCCUCCCUGAAGCCUGAACUCGGCAGGCCCCAAGGAAGCCAGGAAGAAGAAGGCAGGCAGAGUUCUCUGCAGCAGCAGACACUCUGCCCAGAACAUCCAGCACAGCUUUUGCCAGGCACAGCAAAGGUCCCUUGGCAAGUCCACACAGAGAAUGACCCAAGGAUUCUGGUUUCCAAGAGUGUGUGAGGCAGUCCAGUCCAGCAGUUCCACACAAGGAAAACUCAAAGCUAGUGAUUUCAGCUCAGGACUGCUUCUGGACCCUGCAGUCCAUUGUUUCAACUUGGGGUGAGCAACCAAGUGAUUCAGCUUGGAGAGGGUGAAGGUAUUCAGCCAGGUGGGCUUCUGGAGCAGUAGCUGGCAGUUGGGGCUACCAGACUCCCAUGUAUUCACAUCAAUCUCCAGGACAAAUAACCUUACCUGCGGCAUGUGUGCUGAUCUGCUACUCCUUCAAUUCAAAAUUCUAGUAAAGUGAAGGAUGUACAUGCAUAUGCCACUUCAAAGAAAGCAGGUUGCCUGAUGCAUGAGGAAAGAAGCUGAUUGAUUCACAGUUCAGUUUGCUGGUAUUUAUACCUAUAGCACAAGUUGCAAAGCUAGGCCCAAGUGAAGAAACGACUAUAACUACUUCAAAAUCCAUUUGAACCUGUAGACUGUUGGUGCCAAAUUCAGAAUUGUCUAUGCCUCAUUGCCCAGACCAGGCAAUACCACCUAUUCAAUCUUUUCUACAAUAUAUUCUACCCUUUAUAAAACAAAUGGAGUUAUGAGCAAAAUGUUUCAGCUGCAGUGCCACUUUUAUUGGGGAAAUGUUUGCACCAAUAGUAAUGUUUUUCCUAUGGGUUCAAUUUAAUCUUGAUUUCUUGUGUAUAGCAAUCUUCAGUAGAGCUUAUUUCCAAUUCCAGCAGGUCUCACCCUAGGAUUAUGACUGCAAUCCUAUAUACUCUUACCUUGGAGAAAGGUUCAAUAGUUGACAUGAUGCACAAUACUUACAGAUAUGGAAGACAUUGGUGCCACCACUGCUGAAGACCCAGAAGCAGCUGGGCUGAGAGAACUGGCGGUACUGCUACAAGCAUUACCACACAUUCUUGUGAAUGGGAAUAAAUACGGUAAUGUUUGUAGCACUGCUGCUGAUUCUCUCAGUGGCCCUGUUGCUUCUGGGUCUUCAGCAGAGGAGCUACCAAUGGCUUCUGUACCUAUAAGAACUGUGCAUCAUAUCAGCCAAUUUAGUGGGCUGACUUCCAAGUAAACAUGCACAAGAUCAGGCUGCUAAACUUGUAUUCCAGAUUUGGCACUAAGAACCAAGAAAUAUUUAUACAGCUCACAUCUGAAGUUAAAUCCCUUUAACCUUACUCAAGGGAAAGAAUCUACAAUCUUUAGGUUGAUGCCCAACAUACCUCGUAAGAACUUGGAAGUUUUAAUUUUAAACUUAGAAACUUCUUGAUUGUUCCUACGGUCACUCGUGUAGAACACCGGAUGAACUUCUUCAUCAAGCCCUAAAGGAAAAGAAACAAAAAAACUGUAAACUCAGGUAAGUAUGCCAUUUUGCAACAAUUCAAAAAUACUGAAAGCAGACACAAAUAGCCAAGAUAAGAUAUUGCAAGUCAAAUCCAUUUUAGAUACAUAUUUUGCCACCUAUCUAUGCUACAUCUACUUAUAUAAGGGAAAUAACUAAGGUGAAGCUAAGAAUAACCACUUCCAAAGCCCUGCUGAACAAUCUUCCUCUUGCAGAAUGGGAGGGCUGAAUUAAGGAUAUCCCUUAAAAGAACAACAGAAUCUGCUUUUGCAAUUCAGUCUGAGAGAGUUGUAAUCCAUUUUAUGUCUGAAUGUGAAAUGUACAAAGACCUUUGUGCUAAGCAUAUUCAUCCACUGUUAGCCUCAAAGAUGGGACAUUCUCCCCAAGAUAAUCCAUUGUUUUUGCUAAAGGAUAUCAUCAAGUAUGUUACAUUUAGGACAGCAACAAGCACUGUUACUGUUCUCUAAGGCGAAAGAAAAUGCUAUGGAUAACUGUGAACCAUCAGAAAGAGUUUGGUAUUUCCCUGGUGUCACAAUUCAUAAUAUUUGCAACAAUUUGUAAUGUUUCUUAAUGUUAAAUGUAUGAGGCUUUCUUGGUUUUUGGCAGAUUUUGUAUAAUGGCAAGUUGCUAUAUUACAAUAAAUGUACUUCUAAGCUCA